GCGCUGCUAGCUCAACUGGAUAGAGCACCAGAUUUCGAAUCUGGGGGUUAUAGGUUCGACUCCUAUGUGGCGCACCA
rnacentral:tRNA from 4 species